rnacentral:lncRNA from 1 species
AAAUAUAGAGCAGAAAAGCAAUUGUUGUUAUAUUGAUAAUCCAAUAGAAUCAAGUGAUUCUAUGGCUGAAUUACACUAUAAGAUUGAAUGAUAAAAUACAUAAAAUAUAAAGAUAAGCUAGGUAAUUCGAGACACCAAUCUCCCAAGUAGAGUGACUACUAAAAUCAAUCCAUAAAAAACAAUGGCAGGGAACAUUCUUCUAUUUAAUCAAUCAGAUACAGAUCUAUUUUCUCUUCCCUCGCCGAAUAAGGAAACAUUCCUAUAAUGGUAUAAUUAGCUGUAUCCUUCUGCCCAAGUUUCCUUUUAUAAAAUCUGUCAUAACUAUCAAUACCUCCCCCUUCAAAAUUCUCCUUGUCCUCAAGGAGGAAUCCUGAGAACUCUUUGUGCACUUCAAUUACUGGCUCCCAUGAAUUCUGAAAGGUAUGUAGUCUCUUCCCUUUUACCAAAACCUCAACCUUCAUUUGUUCAUUCUUUCUAAUGUCCAAGGCCUCCUCAAGCUACUUAUCUAGUCGCCAAAUUUCAGGCAAACCUUCCGGCAGUGACUGAGAAUCUGCUAUAUGCCUAAUUAAGCAAAGCAUAUAUUGAAAGAGAANNNNNNNNNNNNNNNNNNNNNNNNNNNNNNNNNNNNNNGAAUUUGAGCACAAACUUAUCCUUCCAAAUUAUGAUUGAAGCUAGUGACCUUGGUACCUCCUUUAAAACCAUGACUUGGGCAUUGUUCAUUGAAGAUUUCAAUAUUGAACUGGAUAUUUUCAUAAAUUUCUAGAGAGAACUCUGAUUGCAAAAGUUGACCCAUUCUUGGAAUUCAAAGGUAGUGAUCAACAUGUCCCCUAACACUCCAAUUAUCUUUGAGAACUUAUAGUUUUCAUGCUUUGAGAUCCUUGAAAUANNNNNNNNNNNNNNNAAGGCCACUGAUCUAUUCUAUGCUCACUUCCAAAAAUUGGUUCCUUCCCAUCGCAACAUUGAAGGGAACAAUCAACAAUAUCUCUCCUUGUUGACUCAAUGGCAUCACUAAUCAUUUUUGACUCUCUGGUUGCUAAUUUAGUCUUUGAUUGAACAAAUUGCAGUUCAUAAGAGAGACUAAACAU